rnacentral:rRNA from 1 species
UACGUAGGGACCAAGCGUUGUUCGGAAUUACUGGGCGUAAAGGGCGCGUAGGCGGUACUUCAAGUCAGGCGUGAAAGCCCCGGGCUCAACCUGGGAACCGCGCUUGAGACUGAAGAACUAGAGUUCGGGAGAGGAUGGUGGAAUUCCCAGUGUAGAGGUGAAAUUCGUAGAUAUUGGGAAGAACACCGAUGGCGAAGGCAGCCAUCUGGACCGACACUGACGCUGAGGCGCGAAAGCGUGGGGAGCAAACAGGAUUGAG